UAACUAACCAACUAUGUAAAACUGACCAACACACGCACACAUGCGAUUCCUAACGAAAAGCCAACAAUUUCAUACACAAACACAUACACACAUGUAGAUGAAGUGUACCAAGAGUAUGAAAUCAAACUGGUCGUGAAAUUACCAGUCUAUAACUCGAACCUCUUGACAUAAACUGAGUUUGCCAGGAAAGCAUAAUCGAUAUAAUUUGUUUUUUUUUUUUAAUAAAGAUUCAGUAAACAGAAAUUGUCGAUAAAAAUACGAAUCGUUGAGACAUAUUGUUAUCUUCGUGACUGAAAUCUCGGCAUAAGGACGUAAAAGAUGCCUGUCGCGUGUAUGGAAAAAGACAGUCUACAGCAAUUAGACCUGUUGGACCUGUAAAAUGUACUAUUUGUAAAGUUGUUUGUAACUCGUUGAUUUCACUGCAGGUUUGCUACGGUCCUCCAUUUAUUCACUGCUACACAUGUAUGCAUAUAUAUCCCUAAUGUAUGUAUAUGUAUCUAUGGAAGUAGAUCUAUAUAUGUAUGAGAAUGUUGUGAAUAAAUAUGAGCUUGUGCCUGCUGGUAAACAUAAACGUUUGCCACUGUAUGAGUUCAAGCUAAAUUAGAAUACGGAAGACGAUGACGCAGAACGUCAGAAUGAGAAGGCGCAUGACGCCGACCAAAGACAACUAUAAGGGCAAGAACGAUGAAGUCGAGGAUAAUAAUGCACAUGCCUGUGUUAACGAGCACGAUGGCGGCUCAAUACACUAUACGUACACUACGACUAGGGUAAGGUGAAUCGGAUAUCACUCGGUGGGGAGAGUGAAGCAUAUUUGAAACUUGAGCUUAGCAAAAUUUGAUAUCACCAAUUUAUAACGGUCGAAAGUGGAAUUAUGUCACAUAUACAAGAACAAUAUUGCCGUUAUAUAUAUAUAUAUAUAUAUGUAUGUUGUAUUUUAAAUGGUAUUUGGGGUUACCAAAAUACCAGAUUAUAAAAUUGUCUAAAUUUUUUCCGACCAUUUUCUUCAUGUAUGUCGAAGUAUUCGCCAUUUUCAUUAAGCUAUAAAGAAGUACUUAUAAAAUCAUACAUAUAUUUAUAAUACGUAAAUCGUCAUUGUUCUUUCGAUCUUCUAAAAUGAAAUGUCUAGCAGAAACAUUUGACGAAGUUUAAGAUAACACGAGUGAAUCACCGUCCUUAUAUAUUUAAUGUAAUUGUAAAACUAAGGGAAAUAUUAUGGAGUGCAAUAAUUAAACGACCUUAAUCAUA